rnacentral:lncRNA from 1 species
AAUGUUAGAGAUUCAUAGUACCAUGACAUAGGAAUAUAUAAUUUCUAAAAAAAAAUACAGUAGGAUUAUAGCCUCAAAAAUCCUCUACGAGGCAAGCAUGUUGUUUUAUGAAUUAUGAUAGUAUGUUAUCUCAUAAAAUAUAAUUAACAUCCUUAAUCAUUUACUAGGUUGAAUAUGCACAUUCUACAUAAAGGAAACGGAUAUAGAUGUUUAUCCUGAACUAAUUUGUAUGUACUCCCUCUGUUCUAAAUUAUAAUGCGUUCGACCUUUUUUAGAUAUGUAAAAAAAUUGUAUAUCUAGAGAUAUAGCUCAUAUCUAGAUACAUAGCAAAAGCUACAUAUCUAGAAGAGGAAUGGUCUAUAAUUUGGAAUGAAGAGAUUAGUAAAGAAAUGAAAUGCACAGUAAAUAUUUUUCCACAAUUUUUUAAUCAAUCAUUUGCAAUGCAAAAUCGAUUUCUUUCUUUCAAUUUGACAUCUAUUAAUUUACAUGAAUCAGAAUGCUGAAAUAAGGAAAAUAAUGUUAAAGAACAAAGGAGAUAUUUCAACGUCUCAAAACAUUGUAGUGUAAAACUUUUAGCCAACAGUGUCCAAAAUUAAUUUGCAGAUAUAUAUAUUUCAAUCUGGUAAAUUUUUAUUGUUGUGUCCAACUUGAUAAAAUGGAUGAUUUAUUGUUAGUUGCUGAUCUAUAGUGAAUAUCAUAUAUAUGUUUUGCUAGGAUAUAAUGAAGAAGCUCAUUAGACAACUACCUUUACCUGAAUAUAUGUAAGCUGGUUUUACUAAAGGGAGUUGCCUAAGAGAUUGUUGCUGAAAGUUCAAGCAACUCUCCUAAUAGAUCACAAAAAAAAACAUUUGUGGCAACAAUCUAUAAUAAAAAUUUUGCUUAUUUAACAUGCUAUGCAAUAUUUUUUAGUUUGAUAUCAUUUCAGGGACACCACGGUUACAUCACAUCAGGAGAAAAGGGAUAAGAAAAAAAAGAUACAUCAUAGAUACACCUAUAUCCGGGGAAGAAGAAUAAGAAAAAAGAGAUGUCUAACGAAGAAAAUCUAAGAGGCGAAAGAGAGGUUUCAUAAAAAAAAGAGAGAAGAAAGAGAGGAGCACCUGAGAGAGAAAGAGAGAGUCGUUGAGGAAACUGUUUCUGCAGUGAUGGAAUGCAAUGAGCUUAGAGCACAAUAUAUAAAUAUAUAUGUAUAUCAACAAUAUGAACGUUGUACCAGUAUGCAAGCUGUAUAAUUAAAGUGCUGGCAUAGUUUACUAUUUAUUACUUAUAACUACCUUCCUUCUGUGUACCCUGAGACAUGCGAUAAGGGCCCACAGGGUCAAAGGGCAACACAAUAUACCACAUGGGACCCAUUUGUCAUCGUGAUUGAGUGCCAUGGUCUCUGGUAGCAAAAGUAACCAUCAGUUUCCUACUAGCAUGAAGACAAAUCCAACGUCUCUCUUAUCAAAAAAAAAAAAAAAUCCAACGUCUCUAUGUUAAUAAAUAAAUAUGUAGCUAGAUAUCUUGUGUGAGAUACUAUAUUUAAUACUAUCUUUAUGUAUUCUCUACAUAUUAAAAUAUAAGAUAUCCAUCCAUUUAAAAUUAAUGUGUUUCUAACUAUAAAAGAUUAUAGGCACCAACUCACUUAUUAACACCCUCAAUCUUAGUCAUAUGUGUAUCUGUCAUUAAUACCUGUUAUCAACCCAACCACCAGGCUACUCAUUUAUUAAUAUACCCCCAUUCUCAAUAGAUGUGUAUCUGCUAUUAGUGCUUUCUAUCAACCCAACCACUAGAUUUGAAAUAAGACAACCACAAUAUUUCCACAUGAUCAAGGGAGAGGAGGGUUACAUCUAUCAUUUGCUUUACUCCAAUAAUCUGUCUUAGAGGUCCUAGAAUGCUAUAUGUUUUUGGACUGAGGGCGUAAAUUAUUAUCAUUAUCUUUUGUCAAAUUGAUGUGCUUCAAGACUGUGCUGUGAUGAAGGUUAAUACAUACUCCCUCCAUCAAAUUAUAAUUAAGUCACUUUGAUUGCUAGGUAUCUAGAUAUAAUAUAAAUCUAGAUACAUAGCAAAUUCUAUGUACCAAAAAAGUCAAAGUGACUUAUAAUUUUAUAUAGAGGGAGUAUACAAUAAUAAAUAUUCUAGACUGUUUCUGAUUACUAAAUAGCAACAGUUUCUCAAGAGUAAAUUUUUUCCAAUGAAGUCCUGUCGAACGAUGACAUAGAUGUGGCAUGAGUAUCCAUAUAUAUGGAUAAGUGCUUAUUAUGCGAACGCGUCUAGCUCCCCGUUUGGUCCCCAAUAUUAAACUUUAGUCUCUAUCACAUCAAAUAUUUAAACACAUGUAUGAAU